rnacentral:rRNA from 1 species
AGCUCCAAUAGCGUAUAUUAAAGUUGUUGCAGUUAAAAAGCUCGUAGUUGAAUUUGUGGUGUACGGGGGGCACCCAUCACUUAUGGGUGUUGGUGUUGCCUGUCGUUGCCAUCUUUGGGUGGAAACUGUGUGGCAUUAGGUUGUCGUGCAGGGGAUGCCCAUCGUUUACUGUGAAAAAAUUAGAGUGUUCAAAGCAGGCUUAUGCCGAUGAAUAUAUUAGCAUGGAAUAAUAAAAUAGGACCUUGGUGCUAUUUUGUUGGUUUGCGCGUCAAGGUAAUGAUUGAGAGGAACUGUUGUGGGUAUUCGAAUUUCAUUGUCAGAGGUGAAAUUCUUGGAUUUUUGAAAGACGAACUAAUGCGAAAGCAUUUACCAAGGAUGUUUUCAUUAAUCAAGAACGAAA